rnacentral:lncRNA from 1 species
UUCUUUUUAGGUUUUCUACCUUGUUUGCGUUGUCUUGCUCAACUGGGACAAGCUGCCUUUCCUGCUCUCUCUUGUCCUCAGUUGUUUUCUUCUUCUUCUGGGGUGGCAUCGAGGGUUUUUUCAUGGCUGAGACCACACUAGGCGCCAUUGUUGGGAAGUAAAUCUCAAAGAGACUCGAACACAACAAACAAAGUAGGAAAGCAAUUGUGAUCUUGUUCAAAAAUUAUCCGUCCCUUUGCAACGGGGUAGGGCUCCCCUUUUAUAGUGACUCAAAAGUCCUUUUACAUGCCAUGAAUACCCUU